rnacentral:lncRNA from 1 species
AUCUCUCGGUGUUCCAGGGAUGCAGCCUGGGCUCCUUUUUCCAUCUCCUGCAUCCCAGGGAGCCAUCCUGGGCUCCUUUUCCCAUCUCUCAGUAUUCCAGGGAGCCAUCCUGGGCUCCUUUUCCCAUCUCUCAAUGUUCCAGGGAAAACCUGGGCUCCUUUUCCCAACUCUCAAUGUUCCAGGGAAGCACUCUGAGCUCUCUGAGUGUUCCAGGGAAAACCUGGGCUCCCUUUCCCAUUUCUCGGAGUUCCAGGCUCCUUUUCCCAACUCUCAGUGUUCCAGGGAAAACCUGGGCUCCCUUUCCAAUCUCUCGGAGUUCCAGGGAAAACCUGGGCUCCUUUUCCCUCUCUCAAUGUUCCAGGGAAAACCUGGGCUCCUUUUCCCAUCCCUCGGUGUUCCAGGGAAAGCCUGGGCUCCUUUUCCCUCUCUCAAUGUUCCAGGGAAAACCUGGGCUCCUUUUCCCAACUCUCUGAGUGUUCCAGGGAAAUCCUGGGCUCCUUUUCCCAUCCCUCAGUGUUCCAGGGAAAUCCUGGGCUCCCUUUCCCAUCUCUCGGAGUUCCAGGCUCCUUUUCCCUUCUCUCCUGCA